CCCCUCCCAUCUGAAAGAACUGGACCUGAGCUGGAGCUACUUGACGGAUUCAGAAGGAGUGAAGCAUCUUUGUGAUGGACUGCAGAGUCCAAACUGUAAACUGGAGACUCUCAGAUUGGAGCACUGCAGUUUGUCAGAGAUCAGCUGUGAUUCUCAGAUUCCAACCCCUCACAUCUGGAACAUCUGGACCUGAGCUACAACAAGCUGCUGGAUUCAGGAGUGAAACAUCUGAGUGGUUUUGUGGAGAGUCCAGACUGCAUCCUGAAGACUCUGAGGUCAGUUCACUGACUGUCUGUUACUGUUGUAGAUCUGAUGUGUUUAAUGACAACUGAAGCUCAUUUCUGUUCAACAGAACUUCCAUCCAUGAAGCUGUAAAUCUGCUCUGGUUCAUAU